UCAUCCCUGUGCUAUCAGACAUGAGGUUC
rnacentral:piRNA from 1 species